GCUCUGCCUCCCUGGACGGCCGCCGGUCCAGGAGCAGCGCACUGCCGGCGCAAGAAGGAGGGGCUGCUGGAGCUCCGCCCUUGAUGGUGAUGGAGGACUCGACAAGCCUGUAAGUGGUGCGGCCCGGGACGAUGCGCACCAUCACUACCUCGAGAGCGACGAUGGCCGCCUUAGGCUACAGUUCUGGACGGGAACGACACGCUGGAAACCGCUGCCGCAUGGAGAAGACAGGAGGUGACGGUGGGCAGCGAUUUGGAUGUUCUGGUGGUGGUCCGCUCGGGCAGAAGGAGAGCCAUGCCGCUUUUGGUAUCCAUGAUGUAAUAAGGAAAAUAUAAAAGGAGAAUAUGAGGGGAGUUCUUUUUGAAGAAGAAGAAGAGACCAUGGUCAUUUUCUGAGGUAAGAAAUUUGUACCAUUAGUUGCAGGUUGGUGUUUCCGAGGUAAGAAAUUUGCCUCAUGUCUCUUCCUAUACGCAUCAAUAAAAUAUCUUGUCUAUUUGCAGCUGCACACAUCUCAAAUUUCCCCCUUUUCAUGUUAGUUUAGUUUUCUCGGUAAGACGUGCAGUCCGCAUUGCUUAUCAAUUCAUAGUGGCUUAGACUGGUUCAUUUCGGUCAAACACAUUUCAGGUGAGACCGUGAGGGCAUGCGGUGAUAUUUUUCGGGUAUGCAGACUGCGAUGGUAUUUCAGCUUAUAUGCUUAUGAGCACUGGUUUCUUGUUUAAUUCUCGCACAUUUGAUUCUAUGCCUCUUUAGUAUUACUGUAAUCUUCCCAUGCAUCUUUCCUACUUGUAUUCAGGUACUGAUGUACAGUUCAGUUUAGUACAUCUAUUGUGUUCACAAUGCUUUGCUAUUUAAUGUUGAGUGCUAUAAAAAAAUCUACAAUGCUACAAUUAUCUGUUAAAAAAGUAUUAUAAUGUUGCAGGAUUCUAUCUUCAAAUAAUUGACAUGAGUUUGAGAGAUUCAGUAUAGUUGGAUUAAGCUGUGUUUUAGUUCUUUAACAUCUGGUCGAGGAGCUAUCUGAACUAAAGUACUGAUGUAAUUGUGUUCUAAGUUGUUGUGCACUAUUUCCUCAAAAUAGUGAGCUUUCCAUUAAUGUGCAUUACCCUACAUAAUUUCUUUUGUUAUGUUUGGCCAUGAACAUGUGAUAUUUGAGUUAAGUUCGGAGGAGAUAUACUUUCUCAUAUAUCUCUUAUGGGAUCCUUCUAUUUUCCAAAAUGUAUGUACUUCAAAUGUUACUGUUGGAGGUGCUCACAUCGUAAGCUCGUUCUCAUAAAUUAUUUUACUUUAUAUAUUUAGUUUGAGCUGAGACGAAAACUAUACAUUCAUAUUUGCUCAACUAAGUUAACCAGUUGUGUGGUGCUUUGCUCAAUAUUUUAGAACUGCUUCCUGUUUUAGAUCCUAUACUGCUGUAGUGUUAUUCUAGCUUCAGUCUGAAAACAGAUUGCACACUUAUAUUCUAAUAAUGUGGGUUGCUGCUUGUUUUUUUUCCUUUGCUAGGUGUGGAAUGCUAUUGUCGCUCUUCCGAAGCUGCUUGUUUAUCUCGUCCUACAGGAACACCAGGCGUGUUAUGAGACAUUGGUCCCAGAAGUGCAAGUUCGUGUAGGUAUACUAAAAUUGGAGUCUGCGGCUCAUCUUACCGAUGGCCUUGAUGGAGCUUUGUUGAUCGUCUUUCUGGAUAUCUAAAUUAAUGCUGAGUGAUGAGCGAUAAGUUUUUGUCCUUGCUGCAAAAAAAAGUGCUGGAAUCUGCAUUUAGGAUUAUUUUUUCCUCCAAAGAUAUAUGAGGCAAUCAAGUUCACUAACUACAGCAGUGGUGGAGGCAUCCAUGUGUUCGAUCUGUUGGCAUUGAGUGUGGCACCUAGGCCCUGGAGAUCAAUGGGUACAAGGAGCAGGUGUUGGUCGUCUCUCAUCUGGUAGUGAGGCACGUGCAACUGGUACCAAGGUAAAGGCCUCAUUCUUCCUCGCUCUGCAUUCAUGUUGGUUUAUCUUUCUGGAUCAUUUUCCUAUCAAUGUUAUUUUGGCAUCACUAAAUUGCUCAGCUAGCAUUUUCGAUGAAGUUCUAAAAGUUCUUUUUACCUUGAGGCUACAAGGAUGUUGAACUCGUUAGCCAGAAUCAUUUGGGUAAGUUGGUGCCUAAGGAUCCCUGUUGAACACAUAAGUAUUCAGACAUAAUUUUAAACAUAAGGCUCGAAAGCCCGACUUUGAAUUAACAAAGCCAUCAACCAUCUAGACAUAAUUAGAGUGAGAACCUAUCAAUUUUUUUGCUUGCUUAUCAUUACCUAUGUCCACUUGAAAUAUUGUGAUAUAUGAAGCUGGUCUUUUGAGUUUAACUUUAUAUGGCCACUUAAUUUACAGUUUUGGUAUUUGUCAUACAUAUUUUCUUUUUAUGCCUGACUGGUGUGGUUGUCUUUUUUGUGAAUUUUCUCAGGGGGUUCCGUCAGAGAGCGAGAUGCAAAGUUCAUCGCCCUCAUAUGGCACCACCUCUGUGGCAAGGUGGAGCAAAUCAAGUGUUAUAAGGCAGAGAAGUUGUAUAAUAUCCUCGCACUAGCUUCUGAGAUGGAACAACGCCUUGUUGGGCUUUGCUUAGCUGAAAGUGAGAUGCCCUAAAUCCUAAAACCUAGGAGCGUGAGUGCCCACAGUUGCAGCUUUGCAAAGAGGUGGAUGAGAAUUCGAAAGGUUUUCUGGUAGGAGCAAAAAAUACAUGAUUGACUUUACCGUGCGCUCUAAAAUGAAUCAUCACAAAAUUUGGAGAAGCUACCAGGGCACUUUCCGUAGACUAAAGUUUUGCACGCACUAAUGGCAUGCAGCGGGCAUAACUGUGGUAGUGAUGGGGAUGACAGGGUGGAUGAGGGGUAGUAGCUGGGUACACUCAUAUGAGGGCUAGGAGGGGCGAGGCCACAGACCGCCAUAACAUUGCAUAGAUGAUAAGCGCCGCAUAUGCCAGGAAACCCAAGUUGUUUGUUCUUUGCCAGCGCCACAUGUGCCAGAACCAAUAAGCCACUUCUGUUUGUUCUUUUCCUGGACCAAAGAUAAUAAAAAGUUAUAUGGGCUGGGCUUUAAAUCACUAAGGAGGCUCCUUUCCUUGCAGUUUAAAAUGUAUGACCAUAAUAAUAGGUACAUGAUGUUUAGAGCAAGACAUCAUUAUCUGAAGCUCAUUUCUGUUUUUAGAUAAUUUGCUUACCUCCUCUAAUUCUAAGAGGUACAUGCUGACCCAGUUUUCUUGUAAUUAUAAGAGGUCCACACUGACUUAGUUUCUGUCAUAUCUAUUCAGUGAAUAGUAGAUUGCGUUGGCUCGUGCAUUGGAAAAAAAACUUACUGAAUUCCUCACACAUAUACUCCCUCCGGUCGGAUUUAAUCGACGCGGAGGGAGACUUGCUCACGCAUGUGAUUAGUGGGUUGCUGCGUCGAUUAAUUCUGUCCAGAGGUAGUACUUAGGAACGCCUUUUCUUUUGUUUGGCCAGCUCAACUGAUGGAGAAACACGAAAUUUACCUGAGUUUAUGGAAAAUCUUCUGAAGAAAUCAAGGAAUACCUACUUCUCUUAGAUCGAGAAAGCAAUUUUAUUUCACCGAACAUGAGUUAGUCUUCUACUCUUACUGUUUUAUUUUAUUUGCCUCACAAUUAACUGUUGUUAAUUUAUCUUUUUAUUUGCAGUGUUGUUAACUUUUAUUAGUGCAAGUACCUAAUAGAACUAUUUUUCUUACGUGCUCAAUGGCGAAGCUAGGAAAAACACAAAGUGGGGGCAAAAAUUGGGUAUAGCUCUAGGAUGGAGUAGCAUAUAAAAAGAUGUACAUAAUUUAUAGGCUGUAACUGAAGUUAACAACAUUAUUUAGACAUCUACAAAAGAGGUGGCAUGCAUGCAAAAUGUGCAAGUUGAUUAACUAACCAGGUUCGCCUGAUGCAAAAAUUCUCUUCAAUUUCCUCCUCUUUCUUAUCUUCUACCAAUACCAAGCCAGGGCAGGAACAAUCGAAUUGUUCUCGACAGAUGCUCCACCAAGCCUAAUUUUUUUCUUAUCAAAAGAAUCAAUAGUCUUCAUCUUAUUUUUAGCUAUGAUUAUCCUAGAGAGAUUUAUCACCAGAAGUUAGAAGAAUGUAUUUUGAUAUACGAAUUUUAUCCUAUAUAGGAAAUGGAGAACCAAUAUUCCAAAAAUGAAGAAACCAGAUCCACAAAUUUAUAUUGCAAAUUAGGAGAUAGGACUGAAAGAUCUUACACCUUGUACAUGUGAAGAAUUAUUGAUGUGCUCCAAAUCGCAGGGAUAGAAAUAGUCAGACGAUUAUUUGGGGUAUUUAAGUCUUGGCCACUUCGUUGCUUCGAGUAGCAAGAAGCCAUAAGAGUAAGAGAGAGAGAGAGAGAGAGAGAGAGAGAGAGAGAGAGAGAGAGAGUUGGGAUGGGGAGUGCAAGCUCGUUUGUGUUGAGAUGUGAAGGAGAAAGAGAGAGUCGGAGAGAAGCUACGUGAAGAAUUAGGACGGAGAGUGACAGCACGUGUCAUACAAUGAAGGAAAGGAGCAAAAGUCCAAAAGACACACUUUUCCAUGGAAUAGGAUCUUCUGUAGGUAGCUUCCGUGUGUUUUAGUUGUGAGGAUGAACACAGAAGAUGAUAUUGUACACCCAGACAUGAAAUCUGGAGGUCUUUCAAAAUUAUAAAUGAUGGGGAGAGGAGAGACCCAAACAUACACAUAAUUUGUCUGUUUUUGUCUAUUUGGGUCAAGUUCUAGACACACAUUUGGCCAUUUUACCUCUUCUAUUUGUGUUGGAUCCUACCUAGCGGGGCUACCCAUUUUUUCAUUGACAACAACUGCAAUGGAGGGGAGAGGUGAGCGACCUGCCGCGUCGGAGGGUGAGCUCGCAAGAGAGGGCGCGCGGCGGAUGUAUGGUGGCCGGAGAGGAGCGCGGCACAUCGAAGGUUGGCGAGCUCCACCGCAGCGACCCAACCUCCGCCGACAGCGUCGUAGGUGAUGCCAUGGACGAGGGCUACCUCGAGGAGCUAACCGACCUCCUCCCGAGCAAUCAUCCUGCCACGGCAUACUUACCCUAAAUCCAGAUGUAUACUCUGACUCGACCACUAUGCAACACGCCACAAGCAAGAGAUUUGUGAGGACAGAAACUACCCAACGGAGUGCGCCGUCGCCGAUCUUUAGAGAGUGGUACACAAAUAGUUUGUAUAGAUAAGGCGGAAUUAUGACCGAUGGCAAACCCUAGGCUUCACUUAGAAAAUCUUAGAUGAUAUACCAUUAGCUAAAAUUGAGUCUGUGGCUCAUUCUUUCUCGGCUGAUAUCUUUAUUGGGUCCUAUAUGCUAUAAACAAGAUCAUUUGUGGGCCCUAUAUGUCAUUUGGGAGUUGUCCUGGAGAGGCAUUUGGAGAAAAAGAGGAAGCAUUACUUCUGUUAGAUGAAACACCGAGGUUCAUGAGCACUUUGUUUUUGUAUUGAACUUGAAUUAACCUUAUAUUCUUGCCAUCUAUUUCGUAACACAAAUAACUUAUGGUUAUUUUUUCAUUUUGUUUGCAGUAGAGCUAGCUCUUGGUGAUGUAGGUUCCGUGCGGCCUUCUUUUGCUCUGCAUGCAGAUAGAAUCCAUCCGAGCUACUUCCCUGGUGACCAAGCUCGGUUUUGCUUUUCAAAGUUCCUGUUGCUUCAGAUGGUGCUCACAUGUUUUAAUAUCAGCAAGUGUUGUGUAACUUUUCUAUGCUUGGAGGACCCUGCUAGCAGUUAGACCUUGGCUAGAUUUCCAUAAAAUGUACACAAGAAUUUCAUCGGCUAUGUUAUAUAACAGGCUUAGAAGAAUAUUAAUAUUAGCUUAACCAGUACCUA